UCUCGGCUCUCCUGGCGGAAGCGGAAACGGCGCUCGCGCCGCCGAGUCGUCUGGCUUGCUGGCUCCGGAAGCCACUCUCCACCUUUCUCGUUGAUCUCCUGUCACUAUGGCGCUGGCUGUCUUGCGUCUCCUAGAGCCCUUUCCGACCGAGACACCCCCAUUGGCAGUGCUGCUGCCGCCUGGGGGCCCGUGGCCGGCGGCGGGGCUGGGCAUGGUGCUGGCCCUGCGGCCUGCAGGGGAGAGCCCGGCAGGGCCAGCGCUGCUAGUGGCGGCCCUGGAAGGGCCGGGCGCGGGGACCGAAGAGCAAGGUCCCGGGCCUCCGGAGCUGCUGGUUAGUCGCGCGCUGCUGCGGCUCCUGGCACUGGGUUCCGGGGCGUGGGUGCGGGCGCGUCCCGUGCGGCGGCCCCCGGCGCUGGGCUGGGCGCUGCUUGGCACCUCGUCGGGGCCUGGGCUCGGACCACGAGUCGGGCAACUGCUGGUGAGGCGCGGAGAAACCCUGCCAGUGUCCGGACCGCGGGUCCUGGAGACGCGGCCGGCGUUGCAAGGGCUGCUGGGCCCAGGGACUCGGCUGGCUGUGACUGAGCUCCGCGGGCGAGCCAGGCCGUGCUCCGAGACUGGGGACCGCAGCCGGCCCCCACCCCCACCCGUGGUGUCCUCCUUUGCGGUUUCUGGCGGAGUCCGGCGACUCCAGGGAGUUCUGGGAGGGACUGGAGAUUCACUGGGAGUGAGCCGGAGUUGUCUCCGUGGCCUCGGCCUUUUCCAGGGAGAAUGGGUGUGGGUGGCCCGGGCCGGAGAGCCGUCUGACACUUGCCAGCCGCACUUGGCCACAGUGCAGGUCCUAGAACCUCGCUGGGACCUCUCUCAAAGGCUGGGACCUGGCUCUGGGCAGCUGGGAGAGCCCCUCGCUGACGGACUGGCGCUUGUGCCUGCCACUCUGGCUUUUAAUCUCGGCUGCGACCCCCUCGAAGUGGGAGAGCUCAGAAUUCAGAGGUACUUGGAAGGCUCCAUUGCCCCCGAAGACAAAGGAAGCUGCUCAUUGCUGCCUGGGCCUCCGUUUGCCAGAGAGUUACACAUUGAAAUUGUGUCCUCUCCCCACUACAGCACUAAUGGGAAUUAUGACCAUGUUCUUUACCGGCACUUUCAGACACCCAGGGUAGUCCAGGAAGGGGACGUUCUGUGUGUGCCAACAGUUGGGCAAGUAGAGAUCCUGGAAGGAAGUCCAGAGAAACUGCCCAGGUGGCGGGAGAUGUUUUUUAAAGUGAAGAAAACAGUUGGGGAAGCUCCAGGUGGGCCAACUGGCGCCUACUUGGCUGACACCACCCAUACGUCCUUGUACAUGGUAGGUUCGACCCUGAACCCCGUUCCAAGGCUCCCUUCAGGAGAAUUCACUGUCUGGAGCAGUUUGUCUCCUCCGGGCUUGGAGGCCUUGGUGACCGAGCUCUGUGCUGUCCUGAAGCCCCGCCUCCAGCCAGGGGGUGCUUUACUGACAGGAACUAGCAGCGUCCUUCUACGGGGCCCCCGGGGCAGUGGGAAGACCACAGUAGUUGCUGCUGCCUGCGGUCGCCUUGGGCUUCACUUAGUGAAGGUGCCCUGCUCCAGCCUCUGCGCAGACAGUAGCGCAGCUAUGGAGACAAAGCUGCAGGCCGCCUUCUCCCGGGCCCGCCGCUGCCGGCCUGCGGUCCUCUUGCUGACGGCCGUGGACCUUCUAGGUCGGGACCGCGAUGGGCUGGGUGAGGAUGCCCGUGUGGUGGCCACGCUGCGCCACCUCCUCCUCAGCGAGGACCCCCUCAGCAGCUGCCCUCCCCUGAUGGUUGUGGCCACGACGAGCCAGGCCCAGGACCUGCCUGCUGACGUGCAGACGGCAUUUCCGCACGAGCUGGAGGUGCCUGUGCUGUCCGAGGGGCAGCGGCUCCGCGUCCUGCGGGCCCUCACUGCCCACCUUCCCCUGGGCCAAGAGGUGAACCUGGCACAGCUGGCGAGGCGGUGCUCAGGCUUCGUGGUAGGGGAUCUCUGUGCCCUUCUGACCCACAGCAGCCGCGCAGCCUGCACCAGGAUCAAGAACUCAGGUUUGGCGGGCAGCCUGAGCGAGGAGGAUGAGGGGGAGCUGUGUGCUGCUGGCUUUCCCCUCCUGGCUGAGGACUUUGGGCAGGCGCUAGAGCAACUGCAGACAGCUCACUCCCAGGCCAUUGGAGCCCCCAAGAUCCCCUCGGUGUCCUGGCAUGAUGUGGGCGGGCUGCAGGAGGUGAAGAAGGAGAUUUUGGAGACCAUUCAGCUCCCUCUGGAGCACCCUGAGCUGCUGAGCCUGGGCUUGAGACGCUCGGGCCUUCUGCUCCACGGGCCCCCUGGCACUGGCAAGACCCUCCUGGCCAAGGCAGUAGCCACUGAGUGCAGCCUUACCUUCCUCAGCGUGAAGGGGCCAGAGCUCAUCAACAUGUACGUGGGCCAAAGUGAGGAGAACGUGCGGGAAGAUGCUCCCGAGCUUCCCUCUCCUGUGGGCCUCUCUGUCUCCAGUGUUUGCCAGGGCCCGGGCUGCAGCUCCAUGCAUUAUCUUCUUCGAUGAACUGGACUCCCUGGCCCCCAACCGGGGGCGAAGUGGAGACUCUGGAGGGGUGAUGGACAGGGUGGUGUCUCAGCUCCUGGCUGAGCUGGAUGGGCUUCACAGCACUCAGGAUGUCUUUGUGAUCGGAGCCACCAACAGACCAGACCUCCUGGACCCUGCCCUCCUGCGACCUGGCAGAUUUGACAAGCUGGUGUUUGUGGGGGCGAGUGAGGACCGGGCCUCCCAGCUACGUGUUCUGAGCGCCAUCACACGCAAAUUCAAGCUAGAGCCCUCUGUGAGCCUGGUGAACGUGCUGGAUUGCUGCCCUCCCCAGCUGACAGGCGCGGACCUCUACUCUCUCUGCUCCGAUGCCAUGACAGCUGCCCUCAAACGCAGGGUUCAUGAUCUGGAGGAAGGGCUGGAGCCUGGGAGCUCAGCACUGCUGCUCACCAUGGAGGACCUGCUGCACGCCGCUGCCCGGCUGCAGCCCUCGGUCAGUGAGCAGGAGCUGCUCCGGUACAAGCGCAUCCAGUGCAAGUUUGCUGCCUGCUAGGAGCUCCUGCGGUCAGGGACCCUGCCCACAAUGCCUAAAGGUACCCAGCUAGCCCCACACAGAGACCUGAGAGAGAAAGGCUCUUCCUCAGGCUGCUGCCCACCCACCUGAAGGCUACCUCCUCCCUCCAGGAGAGCCCCCCGGGUGCAGAGUGGCAUCGAGAGCCCAGCGAGGGCUCAAGAGGCAUCUCCUGCCUUCUUGCCCCUCCUUCCAGGCCAGGUCUAAGACGAAGGCCCAUCUGGUCAGGAGGAGGGCUGGAGCCUGGGCUUCUGGGGAUUGAGCCCUGAGGGGGCCAGUUCCAUGGCUAAAAAUAAAGUGUUUGCCUCCCCCUGCUGGUGUGGUGUGAAAGAGUGGAGUGGGGAGGAACAGGGUUGUGGGAGGAGUAAGCCGUCAGAGAGGGCAGGGGUGGGCACUGUGACAGCCUGAUCU